AAGAUUUUAAUGAUCGAACAGAUCAAAAUUUUAAACUUCUGCAUUUAAAUUUUAUCUUAAUCCAACAUCGAGGUCGCAAACUUUUUUUUUUAUUUGAACUAAAAAAAAAAAUUACG
rnacentral:rRNA from 1 species